AGAGAGAUAAAUACUCUGCACUUUAUUUAUUUUGAACAUUGUUUUGUCAUCUCUGGGAAAAAACCAUCAUGAUCAUUUGUACUAUUUAUUUGUUUACAGCGUGUUGUUUUACCCGGUUGUGGAACACAUCUACUUGACACACACACACUAUGAAAACUGCAGAAGGAUACAGAUAAAUGAGUGUCUAACAUAAAGAAAACACUGUUUAAAAAAAGGUUCCCUGUCACUGUAUGACUCGCCAGCUCGAUUUUCCACUCAUACGGGGAGAAAUGCGAUUUAUUUCAUGAGCCUUUAAAGUCGAACCGAAUGUCAUGAAACGCACCGAAGUUACACACGAACCCGCCUACGGUCCGUUUAAAAAAUAAAGCCCAUCUAUUUAUUACGUAACGAUCUUAUCCGAAUAGUGUAGAGGAGAUGUGGGCGUGGCUAACCCCCCCCAAAAAACCCCAUCUGGUACAUUACAUCAAAAAGAACGUGGUCCAUGGCGAGCUUUUUAAUUACAAUCGAGCGUGUUUGAUGCAGCAGGAACGAGGAACAACUCAGGAAGUUGUUGGGUGUGUGUAAUGAGCUGAUUUGCAUAUUACACCCGAUACGAUCGCAGCUAACCGGAGAUGAUUAAAGAUGUUAAUGUAUGUGGUUACAUUUUGUUUAAUCGGGAUUCAAUCCAGACGCAAGGCGUGUAUAACAAGCAGGUGUAUACAGUGUAAACGUAUCCGUACAACGAUUGCAUAGCCGCAGUUGGUCGUCAUAGCAACAACCCGGACGUCUGAUGCUAAGCAGCGCCGAACAGUUAGCUAGUUAGCAAGUGGUCGCGAUGUCGGUUUUGCCCGUUAUGUUUUACAUAGAAUAAUUUAAAAAAACAAAACAACAAAAAAAAGAGACGGAGACGUGUUACACGAUUCAUGUUGCUUCUGGAAUUUUCCGAUGGCAAGACGAGCCAUAGACGUGAAAUCUGUUUUGUCAACCAGAAUCGCGCGUUUAGGAAUCCGAUUUCUUCGAAAAGGCAUGCAAAUCGAGCUUAAAUCCAAUUUCAUGUGGGUUUCUCAUCAAAUCUUUCUCUCCGCCCCCCCCGACUAAAAAAAAAAAAGAAAAAAAAAAGGGGAUUUCAGCUGCCUGUCUGAACAAACCCUGUGAUAGACGGGUGGAGAGAAUCCGUCGGGAGGAAUGAACAGAUUAACACAAAUUAGGUCAAAUUAGAAGGGAGUUUGUUCUCUCUUCAAUAAACGGGAGAUGGAGAGAGUUAUCACACAGAGGAGAGAAAAAAAACAAACAGAUGGAUGGGAAGGAAAGGAGGAGAAGAUAAAUGAGACUGAGACGUAAUGGGUGAGGGAGAGAGAGAGAGAGGGAGAGAGGGAGAGAGGGAGGGAGGACAAGCCGAGUGUGUUGCUGGAAGCUUGAGUAGGAAGAAAGAGAGCCGAGAGAAAAGGGGAUCGAAGAGAGGAGCGAUGGCCGGGGAAUCACGACGAUGGAAAGAGCGAUGGGGGGAUGGGGGGACGAGACGGACGACGGCUGAAGAUUAGCUUCGAGCUACAAAUCCAAUAAGUCGGUGUUGUGUCUACGAUCUUUUAAAUUAUCGUCCUAAAAAUAGACGAUUUUAUGGCAAAGUUCGUUCUUUACUCUUAAAGCAGCAGCGAAGAGUUUUAUAGCACGAACAUCUGGAAGGGUCCAGCUGUGUACUGAGCGUACUGAUUAAAUGAAUAAUAAUUGUAAAUGCUGAUUAAGUUUGGCUGCGAUAAAGUCCCUGUGUAAACCAAGCAAGCAGAGGUUUAACCGCCAUUACAGGGGCCUCGUAAACCUUUUUCGGUAAAGUUGCGUGUAAAUGUUUUUCUCUUAAGGUAUGUUCGCGCACACAGCGUUUCUUUUUUCUCCAGCCGCUGUACUAUGAAGUCACCAGUAGGCGUCCCUACUACUGGUUGUCAUAGUAACGUUUAUCAGUGGAAUCCGCGACUACAACGAAACAUUCUGUCGGGAGAGAGCGUCUGUAUAUAAAAUUCACCCGUGUGUAGUGAUACGCAUCAUAUCCUGUGAGACGAAGUGUGCGCUUCUGGGCCACUGCGGUCCUCCAUCUGUCACGAAAGCACACGCGUAAGCGCCAGACAAUUCGGCGGAAUCACGUGCGCUCUACGAUCUUCACUCCCGCUCGCAUAAAGUUUUCUCGACCUCGUCGCGUCGCCGGACACGCCCUCGUCUAGUCGCAGACGGUCGCCGAUGCUCACGUCGUACCGGAGAUCGGCGGCGCUCGUUGAAAACGAACGGUCUCUGGUGGCUUUGUCGCCGCGAGUCGCUGUACCGUGAGUGUGAAGGGACGUCUAGGUCGAGCGGAACGGAAAAUUCCUGCUAGACCGACAGAAGCUGCAUCGAUUCCGUUCGUUCGUACUCAUGUGCGAAUGUUUACACGCGUACUCCAAAAAAAACCACACUCUAUUGCACUCUUCCUCCUUUUGUAGAGCGCCAUUACUUUUGUCCUAAUUGGAUUACUAGUUUUAUUUCUCCAAUUUAUGGAUUUGUUCCGGUUUGGUUUCUUUCAAAUUUAUAUAAACACGGUAGCUUUUUUAUACAACGUCAGAUGCGAACGUUUUUCUCUGUGUGUGUGUGUGUGUGUGUAAAUGCUCCAAAAUGUGGGAGGAGCAUACUCUCUUUCCCCCCUGUCAAUCACAGGUAGAUAGCGCUUUCCUCCGGGCGUGUUUCCAUGCAAUCCAUGCCCCUCCCACUCAGAAUACAGCCAUUUUACUACUUCUAGACACGGUUCAUGUGCACGGUUCAUAUUAGCAUGCUCUCCAGAUGAACCGAUAACAAUAUGAAAUCACCUACACUGAUAUAUCAUGUACAACAGCAUGCGCAAGAGACAGCAUGACAAAAAACCCUUAAUGUUCCCCGUCCUCUGUGUUUGAUUUGUUUCUACGGAUUUCAUCAGCUUGCGCUUGGAACACUGCGCUAGGUUCUGAUUUUGUCGUUUUAACCUCACUCUGAGAAUGACGCUGCGAGAGCACACCCUGUUUGAGGAAGGUGUCAAGCUUGGUGUACAUUACUCCUGUGUGUGUGUGUGUGUGGGGGGGGGCUGUAUGUUCUGUAGGACGUCGUUCUGAUAUGAGAACGAUCCGUCACCCUAACUAAUGCUUUACGCAUUACAUUACAGUGCUUUUCUUCUUAUUAAAGAGCUCGGGUUUUAUUUGAGAACUUUCCGACGGUCAGUCCGUUUACACGGACGACGAUGAUCCGAUACGAACCCGAUUAAGACGAUCCUCUGAUUCAGAAACUAGCAUGUAAACAGAGAUUAUUGAUUACGUUAAUCUGAGUAAGCUCGUACUCGAAGUAAACACGAACGGAAUUAAGACGUGUGGAGGAUUCCUGCUUUAGUCGCGUUAUCGGCGUGCGUUACGGACACGUACGCACCUUAAUCACACUAUUAACGUCGUGUGGGAGUUUUCACCGCAUUGUGCGACAGGACACGUACGCACACGGCGGCGCUCGACCGUUUGACGGCGAACAAGAGAGCACGGCUGCGUCCCAAACCGCGUACUUGCCUGCUGUAUAGUAGGAGAAAUACAUGUAUCUCGGCUACUAUAUAGACGGUAUGUACGUGGUUUGGGACGCAGCCCACGGCUUCAAGCAGUCGUGUAUUUGCACGUACAGCACGACAAAUAAUUAACCGCACUCAAAGCUUUCGUAAAAUUUUUAACAAAAACACCCAAAAGUGUAUACGGUCCCAUAACGAAGACCAACUGUAUGUCGAUACGUGAAAUUCUGGAGGGAACGUCGGACGGCGUGACGUGGGGACGUAAUCACGUGUGCCGUUAAUCCAUCUAUAUUCUAUAACACGUAAAACGGGAACAUGAAAGGAGUAUUCUAAAAGCCACUCAUGUAAACACCUUAAUCAGAAUAUACUGUCUUAUUCAGAGUAAGGUCAGUAAUUAGAUUACUGCUGUCCAUGUAAACGUCAUCACUGUCUUUUACAGUCUAUUACCGAGGUCCACAAUUUAUAAGACGGUGAUCCGGACGAAUACGGGUACAUACGGUACAGUACGCGUGUCGUAGAUGUCAUAACCGCAGCGUAAUUAAACGCGUCUUCUCGCGUCUAACGGACGUCUGGAAAGCGAAGACCCCUUGAUGAAAUGAUCGAACGCAAUGAAACGAGGCGUCAACAAUAACGACCGUCGAGGAGUAAACAGUAAAACGAGCAAUAACAAAUGAAAAUCGAAUCAUUCUUUAUACCCGAGUGAUUCCACAGUCGCAGCUCCGUUUAGCACUUCCGACCUAGACGCUUUCGUUUUCGUCAUUUGUUCGACAGAUUAAUUCACCGUUCAAAUUGUGCGUUGCACCGUCUCCGGCACAAAUAUAUCUCUUUUCAUUUUUUUUUUUUUUUUUUUUUUACAACCCUGCUCUUAAAUGAAUAACAAGGUUGAAAGGUUUAUUUAUUUAUUUAUUUAUUUGUAUUUAUUUAUUUAUUUAUUUCCCAGCGACGAAUUAGCAUGUACACGAUGACGUUACCUAGCAUCAAUGCUAAUAGCGUGACAGCAUCAUGGAUGUUUACAUAUAUUUUAUUUAAUUUUUUUUUAAAUGAAGUGUUUACUUUCAGUGUAUAAUGCUUGCGCGGUUUGUGUGACAGGUCGUGCGUUCAAAUCGAGCUCGUCAGCCGAUAUCGGAAACGUCACUGAAAAUAAAGAAAUCUUCAGGAAAUUCGCAUGACGCCACAUCCUGUUGUGACUUGUGGAAUGUUCCAGAUAUUUCAUAGGGGCGAUAGUCCUGGGGCCCGAAGUGGACGUUUGGUUCGUCACCUAUAAUGGAUGACUCAUGAAAAAAAGAUGAGACGUUUAAACGGAUUUGCGCGAUAAAGUUAAUCGUUAUAUUUGAAUUCAGAGAGUAUUUCUAUUGGGCUGAGCCAGGCGAAAUACUUCCAUUUAUCUAAUUUCAUCGACAUGAGAUAUGUGUGAUGAACACUUGACCUGCGUUUAAAAUGUCUAACCUUUUACAUAUCGUACAUCCUACGUUUAUUUAUUUAUACUGUAUAUAUUCCAUAUAGGAAACUGACUUAAAUGUGGUCACUUCCUUUAUACUGGUUUGUGUGUACAGUAUAUACGACGAGCUUCGGUAUGCCGACAAUGAGACAUGACGGCAGAGACACGUUGAACGAAUCGCUCUGUCUGUGCCCUCGUUCUCUCCUUCCACCCCACUGUGGCUCUCGUUCCUUUCUUUUCAUUUCGAUUUAAUCCUCGUUCCUUUACAAGGAAGACUCUAAUGCAUGUCAUUUAACUAUACCGUGUGUGUGUGUGUGUGAGAUAGAGAGCUAGCUUUUUGAAGGACACACACAGAGGGAUGUGUGUGUGUCUAUGCGGUUGAGCUAUGUGAAUAUCCUCUGAGAUCCGCUAAGCGUUUGGCUUACAUGGUGUUUAAACCCAGAAUUCAGCUCAGACUCUGAGAAUAAAGACCAUCUCUCUCUUACACACACACACACACACACACACACACACACACACACACACACACACACACACACACUUGUGAGGACCUUACAAAGACAUCAUAAUUACAGAAUGAACCCUAACCUCAGGAACCACAAGGAAUUAUUCUGCCGCUUUACCUUAUUUAUUUAUUUAUUUAGCCAAAUGUCUCCACAAGGUUGCAGUCCAGAGCACUGACUACUGAGCCAACAAUCACACCACGUCCAACCGACAUAUAAAAACAUGACCACGCACAUACAGGUUAAUUAUAUCAGAAACUGUAAGAGCUAUCCAAAAAUAAAAAUGGUUUCCGUGUGUGUGUGUGUGUGUGUGCGCCUGCACUGAACGAGCAUAUUACAUCAGCUAGGUUGCUAUCAUACUGAGAAGUUCCCUGUAACCCUGUGAAGUAAUCCAUAUUUCCUAACAAGUCAUUUUAAAACCCAGGAAAGUACUAGAAAUCCUUACCAGCACGAUUAUUAUUCAUGAUAUGCAAAUAGCGCCAUUCUGACCCCACCCCUUUCCUCCACUCUGCUGGUUAUGCAGCGCUAUUAGUGAUGUUCUACUAUCGCGCCAAAGUCGAAAUGUUUGUUCACGUACAUCAGGGAAUCCUUUCAGUACCGGGACAGCACGAAUCAUUCCUCGCUACCGCUAAUCUAUAUUUUACUGAGGUAAUGUUAGCGCUAACUCGCUGACUAGGGGCGUUGUAGUGGUAUACGAGGAACGAAACACGUGCCGGUUAUUAUACAGCAAAGGAUGAACUAUCUCCACUGGAUCACUUUGUAUAUUUUACUGAGGUAAUGUAAGCACAUAACUAUCUAGUUUACAGUUAAACAGCUCACGUUUAACACACCGCUAGCUGAGUCGUUGUGCUAGCUUACACUUGUGACCUCGACAUAGGUGGGAUUACAGUAUACAAGACUUACUAGAAUUUUCUUAGUAAAUUUACCUCAGAAUAUAGCAUAACAUUCACAAUUUUGUUCAUGACUGAUAUUAACUAAGUUAGCUAGCUAGCUAAUUGUACUAAUCAAGUGGCUAAAAAUCGUCAAACGUCAUCUCUUAUAAUUUGCAUAACAAGCUUUGGUAAAUGUACGCUCUCGCACAUUUUGUGAAAUCGCAAAGUAAGCUCUUUUUAUUUCAUUUUAUUAAAAAAAAAAAGAAAAGAAAGUAAGCCGUGUAUUUUGUGCUUUAUACGGGCCAUAGCGCUGAGUAAGAACCCCAAAGGAGACGGUACACUUAAUUGAACACUAAAUAAUAAUGUGUAAUAUUUGUAUGAGUAAUGGACCUACAGAGCACUUCCUAUCCGCACACACACACACAUACACACACAUACACACGAGUGUGUGUGGAAACCUCUGAAAUCCCUGUUGAAACAGGCGUGUGCGUUUUUGUGCCAAUUCCCCAAUCCAUGUUGUGCGAGAACUUGCCGUCUCCCGAUUGGCUGCUGGUGAUGUAAUGCUUCCUGAAAGUGUGUUUAUGAUUGGACGGGAGGUUCCUUCAAAGAACCUGCAGUAGAGAGCUUGGCAUGACGGAGUGUGGCUCGAUUAUGGCAUCCUUCAAGGCUUCUUCACGCUCUGCCCCAGUGCACUCUGGGAUGUGCCAGUCCUCUGAACAUUGCUUUGACAGGUAACCUUGAAAAACAGUCACCUAUUCCCUCCUUUGUUCACCUUGUGUCUUGUCCUGUCAAAUCUCUUGCUCACUUGUCUGAUUGCACGCACGUACACGCAUAUGUACAACCAGGAGCUGUUGACAUUUCCAGGGGUUUUUAUAACAACUGCUGUUUUAUAAUAACGUUGCUCUGUGGUGGGUGGAGUUCAGUCUAAAUUUACACACAAUGCAACAGUUCUGUUCUCACAUCAUGCUUCCUAUGGCACUGUGAGAGACGGCGGCGGAAGGGAAAUCACAGUCUUUGGUCUCAAAAUGAAUUUUGUGAUGAUUUUCUGAUCAAAUCUAGGGUGUGAAAUUUUACUCCAAGCAACCGAAUUGUGGUCCUUCGAAAAUUCCAUUCAAUUUGAUUUGUAGAGCGCUUUUAAUAACUGACGUCGUCUCGAAGCAGCUUUAGAGAAACCUAUAAACACAGGAUAGAGAUUUUAAGCGUGUGAGUUUAUCCUUAUUGAGCGAGCCGGUGGUGACGGUGGCGAGGGAAAAACUCCCUGAGAUGAUAUGAGGAAGAAACCUUGAGAGGAACCGGACUCAGACGGGAACCCGUCCUCAUCUGGGGAACGACGGAUAGUGUGAGAGUAAAAGAAAGUUCGUUAUGGGUUUUAUAUGAAGUCUGUUUGAAUUAGUCCACUGUUCAUUAAAGGAAACCUGAGAGUAAAACCGCAUGUGGUGAUUGCAAUCCCAGCAACCACAGCGAGAACGUCCAUGUGGAAUUGAGGUCCAAAACCAUCUCCAUGGUACUUCAAGCGGUACCGUCCUAAUCAAUCUCCAGGCUGUAGCCUCCAGUUGAUGAGAGCUCCAUCCAGACGUAGGGCAUCAGGAUGGACCAGGCAGGUCCGGAGAGCAGAACGGGUCAGAUGACCGGUCCAGUCAAAGAACACAACGUGCUGAAAUGGGAAAGCAUCUGAACCAUAUGAAAAACAAACCAUGUCCAAAAAGUUGAACCUUGAUGGGGAUUUUAGCAAACGCUCAGCCUUAGUUGCAGCUGAAUCUAGGGCAGUGUUUCUCAGUCCCAGUGCUGGAAACCCCACACAUCUCAUUAGUGCUUUCUGUGACCUGUGCCAAUAAACAGCUUUAUAAUUAGCUGAGUUGAAAAUAUUAGAUAUAUUGGAUAUAUUAGAUGAGGAUAAUCACAAAAACGUAACGCUGAGGUUGUUGUAACAUUCUAGGUGUCGAUUUAAGUCCCUUUCGCCCAUCAGACAAAACCUAGAAUUUAGGCGUAGGCACGGGUAGUCGACCUGAACGACCUCUAGACCGUUUAUAUGGUCUGCACUUAUAUAGCGCUUUUAUCUAAAGUGCUUUACACUGUCUCUCAUUCACCCAUUCACACACACACACACACACACACUCACACACCAAUGGUAGCAGAGCUGCCAUGCAAGGCGCUAACUUGCCAUCGGGACUGACUUGGGGUUCAGUGUCUUACCCAAGGACGCUUCUUUCGGCAUGUGGAGUCAUGUGGAAUCAUGUGGAGUCAUGGGGAGUCAUGGGGAGUCAUGGUGAGUCAUGGGGAGUCAUGGUGAGUCAUGGGGAGUCAUGGGGAGACAUGGUGAGUCAUGGGGAGACAUGGUGAGUCAUGGGGAGACAUGGUGAGUCAUGGGGAGUCAUGUGGAGUCAUGGGGAGUCAUGGGGAGUCACGGGGAGUCACGUGGAGUCACGGGGAGUCAUAUGGAGUCAUGUGUGAAUUGAACCGCCAACACUACGAUUAGUGGACAGCCCGCUCUACCACCUGAGCCACAGCCGCCCAAGCUUGGUGUCAUGGCAGUAUUAGUUAGUAUUAUAUAAUUGUACUUAAAUAUAACUGUAAUCAAAGUAUUGUAUAAUUGGAAUGGUCCAACAGAUGUGAAAUCCUUCUGGCUUUUAUUUAUUAUGAGCUUUUGGCCCCAGGGCUGAAAGUGAAAACAAUUGCUCCGAGGUACAUUUGGUUUUAUUUGGCUCUCCCUCAGGGUUCAUUCGUAUUCUUUUUCUUUCCGUUGUCCUCUCACAAUCCAUAAACUCUCGAUCAUCACCCAAGUGAAAUAUUUUAUGUCCGUGUAUGUGUGUGUGUGUAAAACAAGCACGGACGUUUGAUAAAUCCUGUGCGCCGGGCAGCUGACAUGUCUUACGCGAGCCAGCUGUAUAUCACUCGGCGUGUGAGUGUGCUGAUCUGAGCAGAAAAGCACACAAAGGCUCCCCUACCGGUUUCUUCCAAUGGUUCGAUAGAGCUUCAUGGAGAAAAAAAAAAAGGAGAGGCUGAUCCCGGUUGUCGUCUGUCUUUCCGUCGUCCAGUUCCUCCGCCGCCUCGCUCUCCUGAAGAGCCUGCGAUUAAAAAGGUCAAGCAAGCGAUGGGAGUGAAUUAAAGUCGGUGUUGUGGAGUCUUUUUCGACGUUUCGUAUUUGGACCGUGCGAAGUGAGGAGACGUUAUGAAAAUUCAAUCUCUUACUCUCUCGCUCUCUCUCUCUAUCUCUCUCUCUCUCUCGCUCCAUCGUUAGCCGAACUCAUAAAGUCUCCCUAUAAAGCAAUCGUGCUAAAGUACAUCAGCGCUGCAUGGCUCCAGUGAUGCCUCAUCUCUCCUGCAGUCAAAUGCGAUUGGCCUUUCCGCCGUCACCGUGGAGACGACAGGCUGGGUGCCGCGACGACCGGGUGCCGCCUGGCUAUGCUUUCGCUCUGUCCCUUCAAGCGUUAUGCUGAUCAGCUCACUUUCUCUUUGCGUUGCACUUUUUGAAAAAAACAAGAAUGUCCAAAUGUUUUAUUGAUGUUAAUGCCGCUUGUGCAGACGCAGAAACAUCUCUGGAAUCUUUCCCAUUCUGCAGAGUUUACUCAAGGUUUCUAUUUUAUUAUUAUUAUUAUUUUUAUUUUUUUGGUGGUGGGGAUAAUGUAAAACAUUCAGGUAUUGCAAACCUUCAUGCAUAUUUAAGCAGCACUCUCACAGUCCCCUGGUAGCUGACACACACACACACACACACACACACACACACACACACACACAUGCACUUGCUUUCUCUUCCUGUGUAGCAGCUCUCGCUUAUGCGCCUGCAAGAGCGCCCGGCUCUCCGGCUAUACCAGGCAGUAAUUCUUCAAUUUCAACAACGCAACUAGGUCAGUCUGGUCCAGCUGGAGCCUUCGUCUGACACGCGGCCAGACGAGCACUCUCUCGGCACUCAGACAACCAUUAACCAUUAGCUAAGAACAACAGCUAAUGAGCUAUUAGCGAAGCAGACACCUAGAUUACUCACUAACUAAUGGAAGACAUUAGGUGAACUUUUCACCACGUUCAUCCAUCAUGAGAAAAUCCUUCUCACCGCACUGCGGCUUAGCCUGAUUUCCAUUCGUUCAGUACAGCCCUGUGAUGAUCAAAAGUGACAAGACACUAUAUAGCGGGGAACAUUCGUAAUACAUUCGACGCACAUCCGACUAUUUCACAAGCUUUAAACCUCCCACUAGCUUGUUAUGAACUGUCUGAGAACAAGAUAGAAGUCCAGUGGCAGUUGAUUCGAUAAACGAGAGGCGGCGACUGAAAAAGCUCUAUCCGCCUUAGUUUUUAAACGGGAUCGAGGGACAUACAGAAGAAACCUCCCAAAAAAUCUGCUAGCUGAAUGUGGUGUAAGAAGAUCUUUGCGAUAAGAAGGAGCUCGAUCGUUAAGAGUUUUAAAAACACACGGCAGAAUCUUAAAACGGAUCCUAAAAUGGACCGGGAGCCGAUGGAGCGGUGCUAAAAUUGGGGUGAACAGCCUUGCAGCUGCAUUCUGAACCAUCUGGAGACGAGCAAGAGAUGACCGAGGAAGAGCCGAGUACAAUGAAUUACAAUAAUCUCAACGCGAUGGGAUAAAAGCACGAAUAACCUUCUCCGAACCUUCUCCGAAAGUUCAUAAGACUCUCAUUUUAGUUAUGGUUAGUGAUUAGUUCGUUUGUGAUUAGUACAUGUCUUAUCGCAUCAUUAGGACGUAUUUACUGUACGUAUUAAUUCAGGUCCUUAGCAUGUUCGCCUCACGCCUCCAGGGUCGGGGGUUCGAUUCCCACCGUGGCCCUGUGUGGGCGGAGUCUGCAUGUUCUCCCCGUGCUGCGGGGGUUUCCUCCGGGUGCUCCGGUUUCCUCCCCCAGUCCAAAGACAUGCAUGGUAGGCUGAUUGGCGUGUCUAAAGUGUCCGUAGUGUAUGAACGGGUGUGUGAGUGUGUAUGUGAUUGUGCCCUGCGAUGGAUCGGCACCCUGUCCAGGGUGUACCCCGCCUCGUGCCCCAUGCUCCCUGGGAUAGGCUCCAGGUUCCCCCAUGACCCUGAAAAGGAUAAGCGUUAUCGAAGAUGUAAGGAUGGAUGGAUGGUAUUAAUUCAGGUAUUGGCGUGUGAUUAUUCAUGUACUGUUAUUGUAAAGUGUUACGUGCUCAUUUUCUCGCCUUUCGCUGAGUCAGAGUCGAGAAACUCAAUGUUGUCGAGGAGCUAGCGGAGGUAGAUGGAGGGAGAAAUUUCUCCGUUUUAUUUUUUUAAAGCUGAACUCCUACGCUAGUGCAGCGUGUCAGGCUAGCAAGAAAGACCGAAAUAGCACGUCACGGUCACGUUAAAUGCGGCUCGUUAAAUGCGGAACAUGUGACAUUUCAUCAUAGUAGCACAGGAACACAUCGAAAUGCUGCUGACACCGGAGGUGGAACUGUGUGUCAGUACUUGAAACCUAGUUUAUUCGGAGAAACACUGAGAUGGUUAUCUUGAGGCAUGGGUUUGCUCACACCCCUCCCAUUUCCUAUCGUCCUACUCACCAGCAGCUAAACAAAGAGUCACGAUAUUCUGCACACAGAAACCCAACUGUGUCCUGACUCAUCUUAUAACAGACUUGCGGUGAUAAAAUAAUUCAUUUGUUUAUACUGAUUGAAAAUGUCCGAUACGUCGAUUUCCAUUCCGCCGGCUGAAUUGAAUGCCAGCGGUAAGUGGUAUGUCACACACACACACACACACACACUCUCACACACCAAUGGAAGCAGAGCUGCCAUGCAAGGUUCUAGCUUGCCAUCGGGAGCAACUUGGGGUUCAGUGUCUUAGUCAAGGACACUUUGGCAUGUGGAGUCAUGUGGAGUCAUGUAGAGACAUGUGGAGACAUGUAGAGACAUGUGGAGACAUGUGGAGACAUGUGGAGUCAGGUGGAGUCAGGUGGAGACAUGUGGAGUCAUGUGGAGUCAUGUGGAGUCAGGUGGAGUCAUGUAGAGACAUGUGGAGUCAUGGGGAGUCAUGUGGAGUCAUGUGGAGUCAGGUGGAGUCAUGUAGGGACAUGUGGAGACAUGUGGAGUCAUGUGGAGUCAGGUGGAGUCAUGGGGAGUCAUGGGGAGACAUGUAGAGUCAGGUGGAGUCAUGUAGAGUCAUGGGGAGUCAUGUAGAGUCAUGUGGAGUUAAGUGGUCAUGGGGAGUCAUGGGGUGUCAUGUGGAGUCAGGUGGAGUUAGGUGGAGUCAUGUGGCCAACCCUACAAAGUGAUAAGUUCAUGAACAAGUCACUCCAAAAUUCCUGGGUCAAAUCCCAGCUUGCCUCUCUGGUCCUAUUAGUAAUUUUGCACCCCUUUACAAUUUCAUCUUGGCCUUUCCCUGAUUUAUAUCACCUCUGGCUCUGGCAUCCUUUUGCUGCCGGAUUUGAUACAAGUAAAUCUGCUCCACUCUUCUGUACUCGCAUAAUCGACUGUUAUCUACGCAUCAUUUUUCAUUAACGACUACAUAAUUACGCUCAGAGUCUUAUUUACAGCAGACGGGCGUCACGUCGCCUCAAAACCGCUCAGAAAGUUCACAUUUUCAUUCGACUUGGCACAACGUCUGAGUGUGGGUCUUCAUAGACUUUAGUACAGCCUCUGUGUCGAGUCAGAGAGAAUGCAAAUGGACUGGAAAGCAGUCAGGAGUCGAUUAGAGAGUCACUGGCCGGGUCACGGAGAGGAUUUGGAGAGAGACGCGGGAAAGAAGAAGAGAGAAAGUCAUCAUCUCUCUGGCAGUCUGACUUUUUGUGUCCUGAAGCGAUGGCUGAGGUUUAAUAAGCGUAAGGGAGGGAGGAAGUGAAACAUUUAACAUCAGUGGCAUUUUAUAAACUGCCCCACGGAACGAAUGACCCCCAUAGUCACCUCCUGUAAUUCAGACAGUGUGCUGGUCUCUCGCCUAUCUAAUGCGACUGUAAGUUUUUAAUACCCAUCAGUAAGAAUGUUUGAAGCGUGUGUGUGUGCUGAUUCAAUGCAAAAUAGACCUCUGGCAGUGUUUAUAGUGCACCUACGUGAGCGUAUAGUGUUUAUACUGCACCUACGUGAGCGUAUAGUGUUUAUAGCGCACCUACGUGAGCGUAUAGUGUUUAUAGCGCACCUACGUGAGCGUAUAGUGUUUAUAGCGCACCUACGUGAGCGUAUAGUGUUUAUAGCGCACCUACGUGAGCGUAUAGUGUUUAUAGCGCA
ensembl:lncRNA